rnacentral:rRNA from 1 species
CCUACGGGUCGCACCAGUGGGGAAUAUUGGACAAUGGGCGAAAGCCUGAUCCAGCAAUGCCGCGUGUGUGAAGAAGGACUUCGGAUUGUAAAGCAUUUUCGACGGUGACGAUGAUGACGGUACCCGUAGAAGAAGCCCCGGCUAACUUCGUGCCAGCAGCCGCGGUAAUACGAAGGGGGCUGGCGUUGCUCGGAAUGACUGGGCGUAAAGGGCGCGUAGGCGGUUUAUGCAGUCAGAUGUGAAAUCCCCGGGCUAAACCUGGGAACUGCAUUUGAGACGCAUAGACUAGAGGUCGAGAGAGGGUUGUGGAAUUCCCAGUGUAGAGGUGAAAUUCGUAGAUAUUGGGAAGAACACCGGUGGCGAAGGCGGCAACCUGGCUCGAUACUGACGCUGAGGCGCGAAGGCGUGGGGAGCAAACAGGAUUAGAUACCCCCGUAGUC